GAUUCUGGCUCAGGAUGAACGCUGGCGGCGUGCUUAAUACAUGCAAGUCGAACGAAGAUAUUCGCCGAAGUUACUUCAUUGAGAUAUCUUAGUGGCGGACGGGUGAGUAACGCGUGGGUAACCUGCCUUACACAGGGGGGAUAACAGUUAGAAAUGACUGCUAAUACCGCAUAAGCGCACAUUAUCGCAUGAUAGAGUGUGAAAAGAUUUAUCGGUGUAAGAUGGACCCGCGUCUGAUUAGCUAGUUGGUGAGGUAACGGCCCACCAAGGCGACGAUCAGUAGCCGGCCUGAGAGGGUGAACGGCCACAUUGGGACUGAGACACGGCCCAAACUCCUACGGGAGGCAGCAGUGGGGAAUAUUGCGCAAUGGGGGAAACCCUGACGCAGCGACGCCGCGUGAGCGAAGAAGGCCUUAGGGUCGUAAAGCUCUGUUGUAAGGGACGAAUGUUUAUCUGGCGAACAGUCAGAUAAAGUGACGGUACCUUACCAGCAACGCCCCGGCUAACUACGUGCCAGCCGCCGC
rnacentral:rRNA from 1 species